UCCAUCUAGUUCUGGGGCUGCUCCAGCUGCGGCUCCUAGCAGCCCAGCGGCGGGAGGAGGAGCGUCGAGGCCCAGGAACCCGGCUAGUCUAGAAGCUCUCGCGGCCGCGGCCUUUUCCCUCCGACCCCAGAGCCCUGUCGCUCCCGCCGGUGCUCGCCCGAGUCUGGGGAGAGGGAGCUGAUCCCCACUCGCAGCCAAGAUGCCCAAGAGGAAGGUCAACUCCGCAGAAGGGGACCUAAAGGAGGAGCCCAAAAGGAGGUCGGCAAGAUUGUCAGCUAAACCAGUCCUUGCAAAGGUUGAACCUAAGCCCAAAAAGACAGGUGGAAAGG